AGCAACCCUUCUGGGUCCCCUUCCACCACGCAGAAGCUUUACUUUCGCUUUCACUUUACUUUUGCUUUCACUUUAACAAAUCUUGCAGCCGCACACUCUUUGGGUCCGCCCGUUUCUCUAAUCAAGUUGUAACACUCGCUGCUGUGGUCCACAGCUUCAUUCCUUGAAGCCCGUGAGACACGAACGCUUCCAUUGAGAAAAACCUUCCAUCAGAAGAAGACUUCUCGUCUCAGUGGGACUGCUGAGUUGAAUGAUGACCUUUGUUUGUUUAAACUGUUGGAAAAUCAAUAUUUAAAAUGAAAUCUAGAAACUGAAGUGUGCCCUCUGCAGGAUCACCAGAAUGAUGGGAAAACUGAACACAAUCAACUCAUGAACUCCCCAAGUGCUGCAGGAACUACAGACCCAGGAAAUCAACUGUUAUGACUGACUCUCAAUUAAAAUCAGUGCCUGCCUCUGAGCUAUUGAUGAUUCUAAAAAGUACAGCAUCCACUACCAUUACUUCCUUAUGUAUAAGGCUGUCACUCUUUAAGCAAAAUAAACAGAUUUUUGAGCAUCAUCUCUUUUUUGGAUCAUCAUUUUGCAAGUGGAGAUUUGCUUUUUUUUCUGAAGCUUUGGUAGUGUAACUGUAAGAGUCCUGGAAUUGGAAAAGCAAAUCCAGAAGUUGAGUUCCAUGACUUUUUUGCUGUUUGCCUUUGGCUUGCAUCAUUUAUAUUUUUAAUUCAUCGAGGAUGAGAAAAUUGAUUAACACAAAAUCUUUUCAUGUCUUUUCUGAUGAGAGACUAGCUGAAUCCAAGAAGAGAAGCCCUUGAAGAGUGUAUUCUAUUCUAGACAAGCAUUCACACAUUGGCUUCUUUGGUGCCAGUUAAAGAAUGAAGAAAGGAUCAAAUUGAGACAUCCAGGGGGGAAGAGUUCCCUGGCAAAACUCCAAUCUGCCUGAGCACUGAGGUGGAGCCACAGAAGUCCGGGUCAUUUGCACCUGGGAGGAGCCUGGCCCCUCCUCUUCCUGUGUGGAAUCUGGGAUUUAAUCUGUGAGGAGGGAAGGCCAAGGGCAGGAAGCACAGGCUCUCACUUCACUAAGAGUCUCUGUUUCCCCUUUUUUUCCUUUAUGCCUAAUUAAUAAAUCCCAUUUUUCUCACUCUUCAAAUAGUCUUCAAGCCUAAAUUUUCAUGACCAUGGAACAAGGACCCCAUCUUUAGCUGAACUAAGGAAAAGUCCUGCAACAAAAUUCUUUGCUAAAAAUACAUGAGGUUGCCUUUUCCUUCUUAAUCUUAAAAGAAAUAUAUUUCAAUGGUUAACGUUUUAGUAAUUCAAAAAUUAUCAAGCAUUUGUUCACAACCAUAAGAUGUGCAUUGUUUUAUAUUCCUACUUAAUAAUAGACUAUAAUUGUCUAAUUAGACUGCCGAUGUUGAUCUUUGUGGCUCAUUGCAUUGAUUAUAAGCAGUGUUUUGGGUUUGUGUGUGUGUGUCAAAUUUAGGGUUUUUUUGGUAUGGCUGCUGGUUGGUGUAGCCUGUAUCCAGUAUCCUGUAUUAAUUCUAAUAUUUGCAUUUUGAACAUAUUUACAAGUUGCUAAAAUAGCAAAGCUUCGAGAUGAGCCUGGCUGAUAUGGCAAAACCCCGUCUCUACUAAAAAUACAAAAAUUAGCCUGGUGUGGUGGUGCAUGCCUGUAAUCCCAGCUACUUGGAAGUCUGAGGCAGGAGAAUCUCUUGAACCCAGAAGGUGGAGGUUGCAGUGGGCCAAGAUCGCACCACUGCACUCCAGCCUCGGUGAUAGAGCGAGACUACGUCUCAAAAAUAAAAUAAAAUAAAAUAAAAUAAAAAUAGCAAAGCUAUGUAUGGUUUCUCUGAGUUUUGUAAUUUAUCAUUGUUAACUGCAGAAAUUUAUUAUAUGAGACAUAUUAUAUGAGACAUAUAAGUGAAUUUGGAUUGGGUUUAAUUUUAUAUUUUUGAAUAUAGUUCUUCAAGAUAAAUUUUAUCUUAGACCUCAAGAAAUAAAAAUAAAAUAAAUUAGAUAUACAAACGA
rnacentral:lncRNA from 10 species